GAAAUGUUGGCAACGGUCUGCGGUGUCCAAGAUGACGUGAUCACCGAGCCCUGAAAUCCGGCUGGUGCAGCAGAAGAGCAGCCUAUAAAGAUAAAGCUCAGUGGAACUAAGUUAUUUGACCAAAGUUACACGUUAGCCCAAAAGAGAUUUUAACCUGUUCUAUCUGUGGUCAUUGAAACUGAAGUCCAAUUUCCAGAUGGGAAAGAUUUGUUUAAAGGCUCAAAUCAUCCUGUCAUCGAGUGUUAAGUUUCGGAGAGAAGAUGGAGAGCAGGUGGCCUACCCUUACCACAUGGCAAAUGCAAACACAGACUAGAGCCGUGAGGUGGCCUGCCCAGGGUCACACGCUUGGUGAGGACACCGAAAAUAUGUUCUCCUAAACCCUUGCUUGUUAUUUGUUCCUGAAAUCCACCCACAGGAGCAAAGGCAAACCAACCCACCUUUCCUAA